AGUGAACGCUGGCGGUAGGCCUAACACAUGCAAGUCGAACGGCAGCACAGAGGAGCUUGCUCCUUGGGUGGCGAGUGGCGGACGGGUGAGGAAUGCAUCGGAAUCUACUCUGUCGUGGGGGAUAACGUAGGGAAACUUACGCUAAUACCGCAUACGACCUACGGGUGAAAGCAGGGGACCUUCGGGCCUUGCGCGAUUGAAUGAGCCGAUGUCGGAUUAGAUAGUUGGCGGGGUAAAGGCCCACCAAGGCGACGAUCCGUAGCUGGUCUGAGAGGAUGAUCAGCCACACUGGAACUGAGACACGAUCCAGGCUCCUACGGGAGGCAGCAGUGGGGAAUAUUGGACAAUGGGCGCAAGCCUGAUCCAGCCAUACCGCGUGGGUGAAGAAGGCCUUCGGGUUGUAAAGCCCUUUUGUUGGGAAAGAAAUCCAGCUGGCUAAUACCCGGUUGGGAUGACGGUACCCAAAGAAUAAGCACCGGCUAACUUCGUGCCAGCCGCCGCAGUAA
rnacentral:rRNA from 1 species